UGGGAAUAUUGCACAAUGGGGGAAACCCUGACCCAGCAACGCCGCGUGAAUGAAGAAGGUCUUCGGAUUGUAAAGUUCUGUGAUGGGGGACGGAAGAAAGUGACGGUACCCCAAUAGCAAGCUACGGCUAACUACGUGCCAGCAGCCGCGGUAAUACGUAGGUAGCAAGCGUUGUCCGGAAUGACUGGGCGUAAAGGGUGCGUAGGUGGUUUAACAAGUUGGUAGUGAAAUUCCGAAGCUUAACUUCGGCGCUACUACCAAGACUGUUGAACUUGAGUACAGGAGAGGUAAGUGGAAUUCCUAGUGUAGCGGUGGAAUGCGUAGAUAUUAGGAGGAACACCAGUGGCGAAGGCGACUUACUGGCCUGCAACUGACACUGAGGCACGAAAGCGUGGGGAGCAAACAGGAUUAGAUACCCUGGUAGU
rnacentral:rRNA from 1 species